rnacentral:rRNA from 1 species
GUCUGAUGUGAAAGCCUUCGGCUUAACCGGAGAAGUGCAUCGGAAACUGGAUAACUUGAGUGCAGAAGAGGGUAGUGGAACUCCAUGUGUAGCGGUGGAAUGCGUAGAUAUAUGGAAGAACAACCAGUGGCGAAGGCGGCUACCUGGUCUGCAACUGACGCUGAGACUCGAAAGCAUGGGUAGCGAACAGGAUUAGAUACCCUGGUAG